GGGCCCAUGGCUUAAUGGUAGAGCGUUCCUUUCGCAUGGGAAAGGCGAGGGUUCGAUUCCCUCUGGGUCCA
rnacentral:tRNA from 1 species